rnacentral:lncRNA from 1 species
UGAAAAAAAAUAAUCCUUAUACUAACGAAUGUAAGGUAGUUCAAGCAGCGAGAAACAGCAGGAAAGUAUAGCAAUUCUCAAACAAUAAUUUUCAAUAUCGUAAUAUUUUUUUCCUAAACUCGUAUAAAAUAAGAUUUGUAUGUAAUUAAAUUUAAAUUAACAAGUUCUGAGUUUCAAUUGUAACAAAUUUACAAGUUUUAACUAAAAUAAUAUUUUAAUUUUAAUUUUUUCCACUUUAGAGAGGUUAAAAAGAAAAAAGGUUAAGAAUACGCGCGAUUGAAAAACACGUAAAAGAGAUGCAUAAAAGAUAUUGGAAAUUGAGAGAUAAGGAAAGUCAAAGAAUUGUUAAAAAGUCGUUGGAAAAGUUUGAGGUAAUCGAUAUACGAGUGUUUCCAAAAAUUCCUUGAACUAUGUAUUUCACGACUCGAGAGAUAUUCUACUACGCACUAAAGUGAGGCAUCGAAAAGCCUGCGUCUUCCGAGAUUUUUCACUACGAUAAUUUCGAAGCUGAAUCAGAUGAAAUUCUUCCAUAGGAAGAAUUUCCAGGAAGAACAAGUUAAACUAAAAACUACUUAUGUACGGAACAAAGAAGAGGAUGAAAGAAAAAAUUGGAUAUAAGCGAAGAUAAAAAUUGAAUCGCAAUUGGGAAAUAAUUACAAUGAAAGUUAAAUAAUUAUUCGAAAAUUGAUAUCCAAACUAGAAAUAUUUAUGGAAUAUUAAUGGAAUAAAAUUCAUUUCCGAUAUGAUUCGAGCAGACAAUUUGAAGUUCUAUUUAUAUUUUGCCGAACAAGGACAAAAAUAUUAAAAAACGAAAGAAAGAAUCAAAACAUAAUUCAUUUCGUGUCAAUAUCCUUUGGAAUGAUAUCUAUAAUCUAUAAAACUUGUAUAUUUAUAUUGUAUAUGUCAUUUCGAUUAGUUAUCUAAUCGUUAUCUAUCUAUAUCUUUAUUAUUUUCGAUAGACACGAUAUAUUUAUAAAAUAAAUAUGCAUUGGCUGAAAGUACAGAUAAGAUCAUAUCUAUAAUAUCGCGUGUUGGUAAGCGAUAGAGGGAAAUAAGUACAGUAACGCCUCUAAAAUUGGAAUUUAAGUUUACAUUAAAUGAAGGGAAAUGAACGUGGAACAAAGCCGUUUCGUUAUAUCGUUUUUUUUUUUUUUUAUUUGUUUUAACUUCUUAAUCUUUUAAAAAUACCUCACGAAUACAUUAACAUUCUGUAUAAUUGGUAUUGACUAUAUGAAGUGAGUGUAUAUUACAUACCGUCAUUUAUGGAGAGACUACUGUAUUUUAUUCGCUAUUGUGUCAUCUCGUGCUGCUAAUAUAUUGCACAAUAGGUGGCAGUUGAAUUGUUCGCGCAAAAAUAAUCUUAUAUCAGAUGAAAGUUACCAGCAAUGAAAAAUAUGGACAGCCUUGAGAAGAUAAUUUAUACAGUAGUGUGAUACGAUAAGGAAUCAAAUUUCUUAUAUCAGGCGAAUUGUUGAUUCAUCAAUUGUCGAUUGAAUCGAUUCGUCGAAAUUAUUAUUAACAUUCUUAUAUAAAAUGUAUCGUUUAAAUCGAAUAUUUAUUUUUCAUAGAAAAAAUAAAUAAUGGAAUGAUAUGUAAUUUUUAAUCAAAUUGCACGUAUUUUUUUAUAUAAUUUGAAAUAUCAAUGUGUUAUUGAU